rnacentral:lncRNA from 1 species
AUGCUAUUCUCGUGCUAGUGAGUAAGUCUCAUGAGAGCUAAUGGGUUUAUCACGGGUUUCUGCCUUUGCUUCUUCCUCAUUUUCUCGUUUCUGCCAUGUAAGAAGUGUCUUUCACCUCUCGCCAUGAUUCUGAGGCCUCCUCAUCCAUGUGGAUCUGCUCGUAGGCUAAAGGAACUUGGCUUGUCUCAGAUGAGACUUUGGGCUGUGGACUUUUAGGUUAAUGCUGAAAUGAGUUAAGACUUUGGCGGACUGUUGAGAAGACAUGAUUGGUUUUGAAAUGUGAGGCCAUGAAAUAUGGAGGAGCCAGGUUGAAAUGAUAUGGAUUGGCUGAGUCCCCACCCAAAUUUCAACUUGAAUUUUAUCUCCCAGAAUUCCCAUGUGUUGUGGGAGGGACACAGGAGGAGAACCUGCACUGGAAAGAUACUAAAGCAAGCUCUUCAAGGAAAGUAAAAAUAGUCAACGGGAGUACAAGAGAAAUACAGGAAUAAACCUUGGCGUAUUUUCCCGAGCAUUAAUGGGUUGACAGUGAAGAUGAAUCACCUGUCUCUAACAUUCUACUAUCAAAACCUGAGAUCAGAAGUUCCAUGUAAAAAUAUAUCAGCUGGCCGCGGUGGCUCACGCCUAUAAUCCCAGCACUUUGGGAAGCUGAGGCAGGCAGAUCACUUGAGGUCAGGAGUUCAAGACCAGCCAGACAUUAUCCUUACACAUAGGUGAAAAAGUAAGGUAAAAAAUUAGUAAGAAAAUUGUCACUGGUUUAUACAAAGUUAGUAUUGGUGAGAUAAGACUUAAGACCUCCCUAUUUUCCCUUAUUUCACUGAUAAUGGAAUAGCUGAUUGCUACCUAUAACCAAAUUGUGUCCUUGUUAUAUCAGUAAGUGUAAUAUUUUGUGUGUAUUUUUCAUAUAAAUAUGUUCAUCUUCUUAAUUCAUUUCACACAGGUAUUACACUAGACUAUAAACACAAUAUUAGAGAGUCAUUUGAAAGUUUGCAUAGAAGAAUCAAGAUCAAAAUGCAGAAGUACUGAUUCCUUGCAAAGAAAUCAUUUUGUCCUCUCCCAAAAUAGGAGAAUGUAAAGUAAAAUAGAAAUAAGCUGAAAGAGUUAAUUAUUACUUGGAUUAAGUGCCUGAGAUACUCCAAAUUAUCUCAUAUGUUGUGAUAAUAUAUCUCUACACCUAUAACUUAUCUCCACCCUCUGAUUCCAUAGUUAUGCCUGAAUUGCUCCAAAGAACAUUACAGUUUAUGUCAGUACCAGAAGACUUCCAAAUGUAAUUUGGCAAAAGAAGAUAGAACAUUUUCAUUCAGGAAAUUGUUCUUCUUAAUUGCUGUCUCAUUUUAUGUGUAAUAUCUUCUUCUGAAGAAAUAAUAGGCAUUCCUUUAUAGGAACAUGCAAACCAUCAAGGCUUAUGAAGUCCCAAGUUUUUGAAUUUCCUGAAGAUGAUAAAGUAAAAGUUAUUUCUUGUUACAUGUAGUUUUGAAUAUAUUUAUAUUACAAAUCUGUUUCAAGGCUUUAAAAAAAUAUUUUAGCACUAAAUUAAAAUGUGUUAAGUAGAGAAUGGAUUUUAUCCUUAUUAAAUGGGGACUGUACCAUUUCGAGAUAAGAGACCAGAGAUGUUGAUAUUUUAACUACUGGGAACUUAUUACAGUAACUAGUAGCAUGGAAGGUAAGUAUCUAACUAAUAAAACAGAGCGUAGUGGAAACAUAUGAACUCUGAGUUUGACUGGUUUUUGUUUGUUUGUUUGUUUUGUUUUGUUUCGUUUUUGAGACCGAGUUCAGUGGCGCGAUCUUGGCUUACUGUAACCUCUGCCUCCCAGGUUCAAGCGAUUCUCCUGCCUCAGCCUCCAGAGUAGCUGGGAUUAACCUGCCUCAGCCUCCCAAAGUGCUGAAAUUACAGGCAUGAGCCACCACGCCUGGCUGAGUUUUGACACUUCAGCACUAAAACAGAAGUUGUACAAAUAUAAAUGAAUCUUGCCAAGGAUGGAGAGAAUUGCAACAAGCAAACAUACAGAAAACUAAGUUAUUUUUCUGUUGGGAGCAAGCCCCCCAAAAUCCGGCCAUAAACUGGCCCCAAGACUGGCCAUAAACAAAAUCUCUGCAGCACUGUAACAUGUUCAUAAUGGCCCUAACGCCCAAGCUGUUUUGUCUAUUCUGAAAGUAUAGGUAGUCUAUGGAAUCAAUAGCUUGGAGGCUGACACCAUUGAGCAAUUAUGAACAUCACGACUCUCUACUCUUCAUCCUCUGACACACACCACUCCAUGGGAAAUUAGAGUGGCACUUCAUUACUGCCAGGUUGGUGAGGUAACCUAAGUUUUCCCUCUUGUUUCCACUGGCAUUGCAACGGGGAAAUGCUUGUAAGCAACCAGUGAAGAUGAAAACUCUGGAUCUCUUUUUGGCCUCCUCUGACAUCAGAGUUGGGUGCCUUGGUAUAGCCUGGUAAGGGCGGAAGUCCAGGCUCACCACCUGGCUUUUGCCAGCACGAAUGGAGGUAGUCUCACAGUUUCUGCUGUGGAGUUUUGCUAGAGUAGACCUGUUAUUGUCCAGAAGAUUUUCUGUCUUGCUAGACUGCUCCUUCUCUAGAUAGAGUGGAUUUUGUUGAGACUUUAUUUUGCCUGUGCCUAUUGGUAUUUUUAUGUUGCUGACUUCUUCUGUUCCAAGACUGGGUUAUAUGAGAACAAAAGGAAACCCAGGGAUCUUACCUUCCUGUCCUUCUUCAGGCUGCAAGGUCCCUGGCUGGUCUGCCUGCUUUUCUUCAUCUCUCAAAGUCCUCUUAAACUUGUUUCAUAUGUAAUUUGCAGGGGUUUUAAUUGUUCCUAGUGGGAAGAAUAGUGAAAAGUACAUACUUCAACUUCUCAGAAGUUGAAAUUCCCUGCAGUCGUUUUAACUUUCUUAGAACUAAAAAGUGCUUAUUUGUGUAUCAGCCAAAUGGAAAAUAUAUUAUUUCCUCCCUGAAGUUAUUAUUUCUACUAUCCUUGUUCUACUAGCACAGAAAAAAUUUAUAUUAAAAAAUAAAAACUCUAUGUUAUAUUGACAUAAUUUCUCUAUGUAUCUACUUGGAUUAAUUAGUAUUAUAGAAACAUAUGUGGUAACAAAAGUCUAGCUUUUUUUUUUUUUUCCAUUCACUGGCUUAAUACUUACUUACUUUAAGUUUUCACUACUUAUUCCCAGGGAUAUUCAAAGGGGAAGUUUUAUAAAUGUUAAUAGGAUUAAGACCUUCUGAUGCAUUGCUCUUAUAAUACAUUUUAAAACAGAAGAAACUGCAUCAUUUUUCUCCUACAUAGAUCAACAACUAUAUUCUUGGUGUUGGAUUAGUUAAUUACUAUCAAAGUAAUUACUUUCAAUGGCAAAAACAUCAAUUACGUUUGCACCAACCUAUAGUUACACUGCGAAAAGUGACUAUGGUAUAUCAUGAUGGGGUAUUCUAGAGUUCAGGAAAUCUGUUUCCUCAUCUGGAGUCUCAUUGCAUAUGGUUGUUUAAUAUUAUAUGUAAAUAUUCAUAAAAAUGUGCAUUUAUGUUUUUGCACCACUUUUUUGUAAAGGUUAGACUUCAUUAAAGGAAUUACCAGAUUAUAAUGAAGGUGUAUCCCUGGGGAGCAGAUGUGUGAUGGGCUUAAAUGACAACCAGCUAAAAGAGAAUGAGAUAAAAAAAUGUGAAUUGUUUUCAAGUGAAAAAAGCUAAGAAAUGGUUAACUAAAGUUUAUAAAACCUAAUGUCAUGUAAGAAAUGCACUGUAGUCUUAUGUUUCUGUACAGCUCAGCUUUGCUAUUUAUAUAACCAUCAUAAUAUAAAUGCAGAACAUUGCUUGAAUAAAAUGAUAACACUAAAAUGGGAAUAUUAGAAGAGAAGUUCAGUGUGAACGUAGUUACAAAAGGCAAGAAAUUCCCAUUUUUUAAAAUAAGAAUGUAAUACAUAAUUUCUAAAACUGAAAAAUAAAAAAAUAGGUAUAUGCUGUGGAGGAAAGUUCUCAAAAAGAAUUAAGUGUAUUAAAAAUGAACUGAGAGAGACUAUAAUACCACGAAAGUGCAUAAUAGUGAAG